GCGUAAAGAGCUCGUAGGUGGUUUGUCGCGUUGUUCGUGAAAUCUCACGGCUUAACUGUGAGCGUGCGGGCGAUACGGGCAGACUUGAGUACUGCAGGGGAGACUGGAAUUCCUGGUGUAGCGGUGGAAUGCGCAGAUAUCAGGAGGAACACCGGUGGCGAAGGCGGGUCUCUGGGCAGUAACUGACGCUGAGGAGCGAAAGCGUGGGGAGCGAACAGGAUUAGAUACCCUGGUAGUCCACGCCGUAAACGGUGGGUACUAGGUGUGGGUUUCCUUCCUUGGGAUCCGUGCCGUAGCUAACGCAUUAAGUACCCCGCCUGGGGAGUACGGCCGCAAGGCUAAAACUCAAAGAAAUUGACGGGGGCCCGCACAAGCGGCGGAGCAUGUGGAUUAAUUCGAUGCAACGCGAAGAACCUUACCUGGGUUUGACAUGCACAGGACGCCGGCAGAGAUGUCGGUUCCCUUGUGGCCUGUGUGCAGGUGGUGCGUGGCUGUCGUCAGCUCGUGUCGUGAGAUGUUGGGUUAAGUCCCGCAACGAGCGCAACCCUUGUCUCAUGUUGCCAGCGGGUAAUGCCGGGGACUCGUGAGAGACUGCCGGGGUCAACUCGGAGGAAGGUGGGGAUGACGUCAAGUCAUCAUGCCCCUUAUGUCCAGGGCUUCACACAUGCUACAAUGGCCGGUACAAAGGGCUGCGAUGCCGCGAGGUUAAGCGAAUCCUUUUAAAGCCGGUCUCAGUUCGGAUCGGGGUCUGCAACUCGACCCCGUGAAGUCGGAGUCGCUAGU
rnacentral:rRNA from 1 species